AACGAACGCUGGCGGCAUGCCUAACACAUGCAAGUCGAACGAGACCUUCGGGUCUAGUGGCGCACGGGUGCGUAACGCGUGGGAACCUGCCCUUAGGUUCGGAAUAACUCCCCGAAAGGGGUGCUAAUACCGGAUAAUGUCUUCGGACCAAAGAUUUAUCGCCUUUGGAUGGGCCCGCGUUGGAUUAGCUAGUUGGUAGGGUAAAAGCCUACCAAGGCGACGAUCCAUAGCUGGUCUGAGAGGAUGAUCAGCCACACUGGGACUGAGACACGGCCCAGACUCCUACGGGAGGCAGCAGUGGGGAAUAUUGGACAAUGGGCGAAAGCCUGAUCCAGCAAUGCCGCGUGAGUGAUGAAGGCCUUAGGGUUGUAAGGCUCUUCUACCCGGGAUGAUAAUGACAGUACCGGGAGAAUAAGCUCCGGCUAACUCCGUG
rnacentral:rRNA from 1 species